rnacentral:rRNA from 1 species
GACGAACGCUGGCGGCGUGCUUAACACAUGCAAGUCGAACGGAAAGGCCCUGCUCUUGUGGGGUGCUCGAGUGGCGAACGGGUGAGUAACACGUGAGUAACCUGCCCUUGACUUUGGGAUAACUUCAGGAAACUGGGGCUAAUACCGGAUAGGAGCUACUGCUGCAUGGUGGGGGUUGGAAAGUUUCGGCGGUUGGGGAUGGACUCGCGGCUUAUCAGCUUGUUGGUGGGGUAGUGGCUGACCAAGGCUUUGACGGGUAGCCGGCAUGAGAGGGUGACCGGCCACAUUGGGCCUGAGAUACGGCCCAGACUCCUACGGGAGGCAGCAGUGGGGAAUAUUGCACAAUGGGCGGAAGCCUGAUGCAGCAACGCCGCGUGCGGGAUGACGGCCUUCGGGUUGUAAACCGCUUUCGCCUGUGACGAAGCGUGAGUGACGGUAAUGGGUAAAGAAGCACCGGCUAACUACGUG